rnacentral:rRNA from 1 species
GAUCAUGGCUCAGGAUGAACGCUAGCGGCAGGCUUAACACAUGCAAGUCGAGGGGCAGCGGGGGGUAGCAAUACUCCGCCGGCGACCGGCGCACGGGUGCGUAACGCGUAUGCAACCUACCUUUAACAGGGGCAUAACACUGAGAAAUUGGUACUAAUUCCCCAUAACAUUCGAGAAGGCAUCUUCUUGGGUUAAAAACUCCGGUGGUUAAAGAUGGGCAUGCGUUGUAUUAGCUAGUUGGUGAGGUAACGGCU